rnacentral:rRNA from 1 species
GUGGGGAAUCUUGCGCAAUGGGCGAAAGCCUGACGCAGCAACGCCGCGUGGGGGAUGAAGCUUCUCGGAGUGUAAACCCCUUUCGACCCGGACGAACCCCCGCAAGGGAUUGACGGUACGGGUAGAAGAAGCCCCGGCUAACUACGUGCCAGCAGCCGCGGUAAAACGUAGGGGGCCAGCGUUGCUCGGAAUUACUGGGCGUAAAGGGUCCGUAGGCGGUGCGGCAAGUCGGAAGUGAAAUCUCAGGGCUUAACCCUGAGGCUGCUCCCGAAACUGCCGUGCUCGAGUGCGAGAGAGGCGAGUGGAAUUGCAGGUGUAGCGGUGAAAUGCGUAGAUAUCUGCAGGAACAUCCGAGGCGAAAGCGGCUCGCUGGAUCGCAACUGACGCUGAGGGACGAAAGCUAGGGGAGCAAACAGGAUUAGAAACCCUAGUAGUCC